UGGAUAUACAUGAUCUCUCUUUUCGACCAUGGUUCGCUCCUGGCAUUCCUUAAAAUGAAACCGAGAAUAACACCGGCUAUAACUCCAAGUACUAUGUUUGUGGAAGACAAUGAUAAGGUUGACGCGUGGGAGUGAAAGUGUGGAUAAGUUGGAAAUAUCGUGAAAGGGAUUACAACGAUCCGAGUGUCUGCGGAAAUUUUGAAAUGACUAGCCCAGCUUUUCACACGGAUACACCCGCCGAAAAGGGAAAAGGGAGUAGAAAGGUGAAAUGUAAGAUGUGAUUCGAAAUCAACGUUGAACCAGCAACCAAGCACGAUGGGAAAGUUCGAUUUAUAAGCGCCUAUGCGCGAGAGCAAAUGAAAUCGCAGAAGGAGAGGCAACACGUGCAAUUCUUGUUCGGAUUAGCACAAGAGAAAAAGUGGUUACAUGAUAAGGAACGCGCGGUAUUUAAAAAAUUUCAAAUGAAUUCGAAUUUUUAUUCGUUCAUUAACAAUGAACAAUCGGUAACAAUGAACUACUGUGUAAAGUAUAGUUGAAUGUGUGAGAUAUAGAUAAAGCUGAGCAAUACAUAGAUAAAAUUAUGAAAUGUUUCUAUAAAAAACGAUCCUACGUAGGCGGAACAUCAGUCUUUGAAAUGUUAUCAAUUAUAUUGACUAAAAUCUGUAUUGCUAUGUCAAUACAGUGACAAGCUAUUAAAAGUUUUCCUUGAAGCAAAAAUUGAUUCUGAGAAAAACAUCUCGUCAGCCGUAAUUCUGUCCGAAAUUUUGUUUUUCAUGCACGUGGAUCAUUGUAAGCGUCAGAUACACGGCAAGUUAAAACGUUCAACCCUCUUUACUACCACUACCAUAGUAGAUACAUGUAUCAACACACAGUAAAAAAAUCUCGUCAUAGUUAUCAGCAGAACAAAGGAGAUGAAUGCAAUAAUGUAUGAUUUUAUUUAAUCUUCGACUACCGUCAUUGCUUUAAGAUGUUUUGUUCCUCACAAUUACUGCAAUUUGAUCAAAUUUUCUUUCAAAUUAUUGUAUUACCGAAUGCUUUAUUAUUAUCCACACAUUCAAUUUGAAAUACUUUCAUUAGAAUAUUUAUGAAAGGUGACUCGCACUUAUUAGUUGAGAAAUUUAAACAAAUG